rnacentral:rRNA from 1 species
CAGGAUGAACGCUGGCGGCGUGCCUAAUACAUGCAAGUCGAGCGAACAGAUGAGAAGCUUGCUUCUCUGAUGUUAGCGGCGGACGGGUGAGUAACACGUGGGUAACCUACCUAUAAGACUGGGAUAACUCCGGGAAACCGGGGCUAAUACCGGAUAAUAUUUUGAACCGCAUGGUUCAAUAGUGAAAGACGGUUUCGGCUGUCACUUAUAGAUGGACCCGCGCCGUAUUAGCUAGUUGGUAAGGUAACGGCUUACCAAGGCGACGAUACGUAGCCGACCUGAGAGGGUGAUCGGCCACACUGGAACUGAGACACGGUCCAGACUCCUACGGGAGGCAGCAGUAGGGAAUCUUCCGCAAUGGGCGAAAGCCUGACGGAGCAACGCCGCGUGAGUGAUGAAGGUCUUCGGAUCGUAAAACUCUGUUGUUAGGGAAGAACAAAUUUGUUAGUAACUGAACAAGUCUUGACGGUACCUAACCAGAAAGCCACGGCUAACUACGUGCCAGCAGCCGCGGUAAUACGUAGGUGGCAAGCGUUAUCCGGAAUUAUUGGGCGUAAAGCGCGCGUAGGCGGUUUCUUAAGUCUGAUGUGAAAGCCCACGGCUCAACCGUGGAGGGUCAUUGGAAACUGGGAAACUUGAGUGCAGAAGAGGAGAGUGGAAUUCCAUGUGUAGCGGUGAAAUGCGCAGAGAUAUGGAGGAACACCAGUGGCGAAGGCGGCU